rnacentral:rRNA from 1 species
CCUACGGGUGGCAGCAGUGGGGAAUAUUGCACAAUGGGGGAAACCCUGAUGCAGCGACGCCGCGUGAGUGAAGAAGGAUUUCGGUAUGUAAAGCUCUAUCAGCAGGGAAGAAAAGGACGGUACCUGACUAAGAAGCCCCGGCUAACUACGUGCCAGCAGCCGCGGUAAUACGGAGGGGGCAAGCGUUAUCCGGAUUUACUGGGUGUAAAGGGAGCGUAGACGGCCAGGGAAGUCAGAGGUGAAAGCCCAGGGCGAAACCCGGGGACUGCUUUUGAAACUGGCGGGCUGGAGUGCAGGAGAGGUAAGCGGAAUUCCUGGGGUAGCGGUGAAAUGCGUAGAUAUUAGGAGGAACACCAGUGGCGAAGGCGGCUUACUGGACUGUAACUGACGUUGAGGCUCGAAAGCGUGGGGAGCAAACAGGAUUAGAUACCCUAGUAGUC